rnacentral:rRNA from 1 species
GAUGAACGCUGGCGGCGUGCCUAAUACAUGCAAGUCGAGCGAAUAGAUGAGGAGCUUGCUCCUCUGACGUUAGCGGCGGACGGGUGAGUAACACGUGGAUAACCUACCUAUAAGACUGGGAUAACUUCGGGAAACCGGAGCUAAUACCGGAUAAUAUAUUGAACCGCAUGGUUCAAUAGUGAAAGACGGUUUUGCUGUCACUUAUAGAUGGAUCCGCGCCGCAUUAGCUAGUUGGUAAGGUAACGGCUUACCAAGGCAACGAUGCGUAGCCGACCUGAGAGGGUGAUCGGCCACACUGGAACUGAGACACGGUCCAGACUCCUACGGGAGGCAGCAGUAGGGAAUCUUCCGCAAUGGGCGAAAGCCUGGCGGAGCAACGCCGCGUGAGUGAUGAAGGUCUUCGGAUCGUAAAACUCUGUUAUUAGGGAAGAACAAAUGUGUAAGUAACUAUGCACGUCUUGACGGUACCUAAUCAGAAAGCCACGGCUAACUACGUG